CUCUCUCACUGGCAGCAACCCAGCGCUUCCAUUGCUGACCUCUACCGACCUCUACCUGUGGUCCUUCCUCUACUGCAGCAGAGACACUGUUUUCUUCCUUUGUUCUUCCAACCCCAUGGGGAAUAUCACAGAAGUGAAGUGCAAUUCUCAUCAUGUCAUAUCAAGAGCACACACUAACAAACAACAUGACUUAUUGCUGAAUAUUGAACUUGAUCACCUGGCUGAGGUAGUGUUUGCCAGAUUUCUCUGUAAAGGCCUCCUCUGCCAUCAUACCAGCAAGGGAAGGUGGAUAUCUCCUCACUAGUGCCC
rnacentral:lncRNA from 10 species